rnacentral:rRNA from 1 species
UACGGGGGGAGCAAGCGUUGUUCGGAUUUACUGGGCGUAAAGGGCGCGUAGGCGGCCACCGCAAGUCGACUGUGAAAUCUCCGGGCUUAACUCGGAAAGGUCAGCCGAUACUGCGGGGCUAGAGUGCAGAAGGGGCAACUGGAAUUCUCGGUGUAGCGGUGAAAUGCGUAGAUAUUGGAAAGACCACCGACGGCGAAGGCACUUUACUGGGCCAUUACUGACACUAAGAGACGAAAGCUAGGGGAGCAAAUGGG